UUGAGACGACGGGAGCGCCGCCCCAGCUCUAUCAAGACGCUCCUGAUUUCAUUCCGAUAUUGGAAACAUGUCUGUGACAGUGGAAUCGCUUGAAAAGUCGUUUGGUGUAAGGAUGGAUUAAUU